ACGCAACAACCCCUAAGUGAUACAAGAUUACGAUGCUUCAAGUUACUAAUAAUCUCAACCUCAUUGCAAAACUCAUCAUUUCCUUGAAAAUCAGAUUCUAUAAUCUUUUUGACAGCAACAUUAGUCCCAUCUGCUAAAGUUCCUUUAUAAACUACUCCAAAUCCACCUCUCCCUACAAAAUUCUUUUGGGAAAAAUUAUCUGUUGCCCUUUCAAGCUCCUGAAA
rnacentral:misc_RNA from 1 species